rnacentral:tRNA from 1 species
GGAGAGGUGCCGGAGUGGACGAACGGGGCGCUCUCGAAAAGCGUUGUGGCUUUACAGUCACCGUGGGUUCGAAUCCCACCCUCUCCG